ACACCUUCGCAUAUAGCUCCAUUUUCGCAUAAGUACUCCGAUUCGGCAAUUGCACUUAUGCAAAUUAAUCUCCAAAACAUCAUAAUACUACACCAAAUUGCAUCGGGGUCCAUUACAAGACUUACUACAUUGGCAGACUAUAAAGAUGGCAUUUUUCGAUUCAUCAAAAAUCACAUCAAAUUGCAAAAUAAAACACCUUAGAAUAUUCACCGUAAAAUGCCUUAUACUACAGACUCCCUUCCCAUACU
rnacentral:lncRNA from 1 species